CGGUGGCCAUAGCGGAGAGGUAAUACCCGUUCCCAUCCCGAACACGGAAGUCAAGCUCUCUUGCGCCAAUGAUACUGCAUUCGUGGGAAAGUAGGUAGCUGCCGG
rnacentral:rRNA from 1 species